rnacentral:rRNA from 1 species
UACGAACCGUCCAAACGUUAUUCGGAUUUAUUGGGCUUAAAGGGUAUGUAGGCGGCGCUGUCAGUCGGGUGUGAAAGCCCUCGGCUCAACCGAGGAACUGCGCCCGAUACUGCAGCGCUUGAGGGAGACAGAGGUAAGCGGAACUGAUGGUGGAGCGGUGAAAUGCGUUGAUAUCAUCAGGAACACCAGUGGCGAAAGCGGCUUACUGGGUCUCUUCUGACGCUGAGAUACGAAAGCUAGGGGAGCGAACGGG